UACGUAGGGUGCAAGCGUUAAUCGGAAUUACUGGGCGUAAAGCGUGCGCAGGCGGUGAUGUAAGACAGGUGUGAAAUCCCCGGGCUUAACCUGGGAACUGCAGUUGUGACUGCAUCGCUGGAGUGCGGCAGAGGGGGAUGGAAUUCCGCGUGUAGCAGUGAAAUGCGUAGAUAUGCGGAGGAACACCGAUGGCGAAGGCAAUCCCCUGGGCCUGCACUGACGCUCAUGCACGAAAGCGUGGGGAGCAAACAGG
rnacentral:rRNA from 1 species